rnacentral:rRNA from 1 species
UGGGGAAUAUUGGACAAUGGGCGAAAGCCUGAUCCAGCCAUGCCGCGUGUGUGAAGAAGGUCUUCGGAUUGUAAAGCACUUUAAGUUGGGAGGAAGGGCAUUAACCUAAUACGUUAGUGUUUUGACGUUACCGACAGAAUAAGCACCGGCUAACUCUGUGCCAGCAGCCGCGGUAAUACAGAGGGUGCCAGCGUUAAUCGGAAUUACUGGGCGUAAAGCGCGCGUAGGUGGUUUGUUAAGUUGGAUGUGAAAGCCCCGGGCUCAACCUGGGAACUGCAUCCAAAACUGGCAAGCUAGAGUACGGUAGAGGGUGGUGGAAUUUCCUGUGUAGCGGUGAAAUGCGUAGAUAUAGGAAGGAACACCAGUGGCGAAGGCGACCACCUGGACUGAUACUGACACUGAGGUGCGAAAGCGUGGGGAGCAAACA